rnacentral:rRNA from 1 species
UGCAGAAUCCCGUGAACCAUCGAGUCUUUGAACGCAAGUUGCGCCCGAUGCCAUUAGGUUGAGGGCACGUCUGCCUGGGUGUCACAUAUCGAAGCCCCUUGCCAAUUUCCUAUUUAAUAGGUAUUGUGUGCAGGGUGAUUAUGUUGGCCUCCCGUGAGCUCUGUCUCAUGGUUGGUUGAAAAUUGAGACCUUGGUAGGGUGUGCCGUGAUAGAUGGUGGAUGUGUGACCCACAAGACCAAAUCAUGUGCUGCUCUAUUGAAUGUGGACUCUUUUACCCACAUGCGUUUUGUAACACUCGUGAUGAGACCUCAGGUCAGGCGGGGCUACCCGCUGAAUUUAAGCAUAUCAAUAAGCGGAGGAAAAGAAACUAACAAGGAUUCCCUUAGUAACGGCGAGCGAACCGGGAUAUAAGCCCACCAUGAGAAUCGAUCGCCAUCGGCGUUUGA